UGAAGUGGCGGAAUGGUAGACGCACAGGACUUAAAAUCCUGUGGUAGCAAUACCGUGAGGGUUCAAGUCCCUCCUUCAGC
rnacentral:tRNA from 1 species